CCAAUAUAAUAAUUGGACAGUAAAUUGGACAGUAAAAAUAUUUAUCUCGGAGACAACAUUGAAUGUUGAUUUUUGAAUGAGGAAGGUUCACACAUGCGCAGUGGUUGUAGCAGUAGCACUUUGCUUCUCCCAACUGUCACUGCCGCACCUGGCGCGAAAACCGGAGAAGAAUGGAGGUUUCAGCUGCUCCAGAAGUUAUAGGAUUCAGGAAUUAUACUGACUGAAGAAGAGACAAAGAGAUUCAGAGAUUUACAUUUUCUCACACUCUACAUUGUCACCUGGAGUCAGCUCUGUAACCGUGGCCCCAAGUUUUUGUGAUUUACAUUUUCUCACACUACAUUGUCACCUGGAGUCAGCUCUGUAACCGUGGGCCCAAGUUUUUGUGGAAAUGGCUGAGACCGAUUUCCUCAGUGCCAUGGAGAGAACGACAGUGGGGA